GAUGAACGCUAGCGGCAGGCUUAAUACAUGCAAGUCGAGGGGCAGCAUGAGUAGCAAUACUUGAUGGCGACCGGCAAACGGGUGCGGAACACGUACACAACCUUCCUUUAAGUGGGGAAUAGCCCAGAGAAAUUUGGAUUAAUACCCCGUAACAUAUAGAUGUGGCAUCACAAUUAUAUUAUAGGUUUACCGCUUAAAGAUGGUGUGCGGCUGAUUAGAUAGUUGGCGGGGUAAUGGCCCACCAAGUCUACGAUCAGUAGCUGAUGUGAGAGCAUGAUCAGCCACACGGGCACUGAGACACGGGCCCGACUCCUACGGGAGGCAGCAGUAAGGAAUAUU
rnacentral:rRNA from 1 species